rnacentral:rRNA from 1 species
GACGAACGCUGGCGGCGUGCUUAACACAUGCAAGUCGAACGGAAAGGCCCUGCUUUUGUGGGGUGCUCGAGUGGCGAACGGGUGAGUAACACGUGAGUAACCUGCCCUUGACUUUGGGAUAACUUCAGGAAACUGGGGCUAAUACCGGAUAGGAGCUCCUGCUGCAUGGGGGGGGUUGGAAAGUUUCGGCGGUUGGGGAUGGACUCGCGGCUUAUCAGCUUGUUGGUGGGGUAGUGGCUUACCAAGGCUUUGACGGGUAGCCGGCCUGAGAGGGUGACCGGCCACAUUGGGACUGCGAUACGGACCAGACUCCUACGGGAGGCAGCAGUGGGGAAUAUUGCACAAUGGGCGGAAGCCUGAUGCAGCAACGCCGCGUGCGGGAUGACGGCCUUCGGGUUGUAAACCGCUUUCGCCUGUGACGAAGCGUGAGUGACGGUAAUGGGUAAAGAAGCACCGGCUAACUACGUG